rnacentral:rRNA from 1 species
UGGGGAAUUUUGGACAAUGGGGGAAACCCUGAUCCAGCCAUCCCGCGUGUGCGAUGAAGGCCUUCGGGUUGUAAAGCACUUUUGGCAGGAAAGAAACGUCAUGGGUUAAUACCCCGUGAAACUGACGGUACCUGCAGAAUAAGCACCGGCUAACUACGUGCCAGCAGCCGCGGUAAUACGUAGGGUGCACGCGUUAAUCGGAAUUACUGGGCGUAAAGCGUGCGCAGGCGGUUCGGAAAGAAAGAUGUGAAAUCCCAGAGCUCAACUUUGGAACUGCAUUUUUAACUACCGGUCUAGAGUGUGUCAGAGGGCGGUGGAAUUCCGCGUGUAGCAGUGAAAUGCGUGGAUAUGCGGAGGAACACCGAUGGCGAAGGCAGCCUCCUGGGAUAACACUGACGCUCAUGCACGAAAGCGUGGGGAGCAAACAGG